rfam:Oryza sativa (indica cultivar-group) chromosome 1, whole genome shotgun sequence.
UAUAAAUACAGUUUUGCACUGUUCAUAUCUAAUAUUUAACCAUUCGUCUUAUUUUAAAAUUUUUAAUGAUUAGUAUUUUUGUUGUUAUUAGAUGAUAAAACUNGAAUAAUAUUUUAUGUGUGACUAAUUCUUUUUAAUUUUUUUAUAAAUUUUUUAAAUAAGAUGGAGAGUCAACAACUUGACACGGACACGGACACCUACGACUGCACUUAUU